rnacentral:rRNA from 1 species
UAAGGAAUAUUGCUCAAUGGGAGAAAUCCUGAAGCAGCAACGCCGCGUGGAGGAUGAAGGGUCUAUGACUUGUAAACUCCUGUAAAGAAGGAAAAAAUUCCCAUUUGAUGGGAGAUGAUGGUACUUCUGGAGUAAGCCCCGGCUAACUACGUGCCAGCAGCCGCGGUAAUACGUAGGGGGCAAGCGUUGUCCGGAUUUACUGGGUGCAAAGGGUGCUCAGGCGGAUUUGUAAGUCAGAGGUGAAAUCUUACAGCUUAACUGUGAAACUGCCUUUGAUACUGCAAGCCUAGAGUAUGGAAGAGAGUGAUGGAAUAUCUGGUGUAGCAGUGAAAUGCGUAGAUAUCAGAUAGAACACCAAUGGCGAAGGCAGUCACUUGGUCCAUUACUGACGCUAAAGCACGAAAGCGUGGGUAGCAAAC